rnacentral:rRNA from 1 species
CAGUUAACGCAUUAAGCACUCCGCCUGGGGAGUACGGCCGCAAGGCUGAAACUCAAAGGAAUUGGCGGGGGCCCGCACAAGCGGUGGAGCAUGUGGUUUAAUUCGAAGCAACGCGAAGAACCUUACCAGGUCUUGACAUCCUUUGACCACUCUAGAGAUAGAGCUUUCCCUUCGGGGACAAAGUGACAGGUGGUGCAUGGUUGUCGUCAGCUCGUGUCGUGAGAUGUUGGGUUAAGUCCCGCAACGAGCGCAACCCUUAUUGUUAGUUGCCAUCAUUCAGUUGGGCACUCUAGCGAGACUGCCGGUGACAAACCGGAGGAAGGUGGGGAUGACGUCAAAUCAUCAUGCCCCUUAUGACCUGGGCUACACACGUGCUACAAUGGACGGUACAAUGAGUCGCGAGACCGCGAGGUUUAGCUAAUCUCUUAA